UACGUAGGUGACAAGCGUUGUCCGGAUUUACUGGGCGUAAAGAGCGCGCAGGCGGUCGUUCAAGUCGAGUGUGAAAGCCCCCGGCUCAACUGGGGAGGGUCAUUCGAUACUGAUCGACUCGAAGGCAGGAGAGGGUAGUGGAAUUCCCGGUGUAGUGGUGAAAUGCGUAGAUAUCGGGAGGAACACCAGUGGCGAAGGCGACUACCUGCCUGUUCUUGACGCUGGGGCG
rnacentral:rRNA from 1 species